CGCUGGCGGCGUGCCUAAUACAUGCAAGUCGAACGAGUUCUGAUUAUUGAAAGGUGCUUGCAUCUUGAUUUAAUUUUGAACGAGUGGCGGACGGGUGAGUAACACGUGGGUAACCUGCCCUUAAGUGGGGGAUAACAUUUGGAAACAGAUGCUAAUACCGCAUAAAUCCAAAAACCGCAUGGUUCUUGGCUGAAAGAUGGCGUAAGCUAUCGCUUUUGGAUGGACCCGCGGCGUAUUAGCUAGUUGGUGAGGUAACGGCUCACCAAGGCAAUGAUACGUAGCCGAACUGAGAGGUUGAUCGGCCACAUUGGGACUGAGACACGGCCCAAACUCCUACGGGAGGCAGCAGUAGGGAAUCUUCCACAAUGGACGCAAGUCUGAUGGAGCAACGCCGCGUGAGUGAAGAAGGCUUUCGGGUCGUAAAACUCUGUUGUUGGAGAAGAAUGGUCGGCAGAGUAACUGUUGUCGGCGUGACGGUAUCCAACCAGAAAGCCACGGCUAACUACGUGCCAGCAGCCGCGGUAAUACGUAGGUGGCAAGCGUUAUCCGGAUUUAUUGGGCGUAAAGCGAGCGCAGGCGGUUUUUUAAGUCUGAUGUGAAAGCCCUCGGCUUAACCGAGGAAGUGCAUCGGAAACUGGGAAACUUGAGUGCAGAAGAGGACAGUGGAACUCCAUGUGUAGCGGUGAAAUGCGUAGAUAUAUGGAAGAACACCAGUGGCGAAGGCGGCUGUCUGGUCUGUAACUGACGCUGAGGCUCGAAAGCAUGGGUAGCGAACAGGAUUAGAUACCCUGGUAGUCCAUGCCGUAAACGAUGAAUGCUAGGUGUUGGAGGGUUUCCGCCCUUCAGUGCCGCAGCUAACGCAUUAAGCAUUCCGCCUGGGGAGUACGACCGCAAGGUUGAAACUCAAAGGAAUUGACGGGGGCCCGCACAAGCGGUGGAGCAUGUGGUUUAAUUCGAAGCAACGCGAAGAACCUUACCAGGUCUUGACAUCUUUUGAUCACCUGAGAGAUCAGGUUUCCCCUUCGGGGGCAAAAUGACAGGUGGUGCAUGGUUGUCGUCAGCUCGUGUCGUGAGAUGUUGGGUUAAGUCCCGCAACGAGCGCAACCCUUAUGACUAGUUGCCAGCAUUUAGUUGGGCACUCUAGUAAGACUGCCGGUGACAAACCGGAGGAAGGUGGGGAUGACGUCAAAUCAUCAUGCCCCUUAUGACCUGGGCUACACACGUGCUACAAUGGAUGGUACAACGAGUUGCGAGACCGCGAGGUCAAGCUAAUCUCUUAAAGCCAUUCUCAGUUCGGACUGUAGGCUGCAACUCGCCUACACGAAGUCGGAAUCGCUAGUAAUCGCGGAUCAGCACGCCGCGGUGAAUACGUUCCCGGGCCUUGUACACACCGCCCGUCACACCAUGAGAGUUUGUAACACCCGAAGCCGGUGGCGUAACCCUUUUAGGGAGCGAGCCGUCUAAGGUGGGACAAAUAAU
rnacentral:rRNA from 1 species